UACAGAGGUCUCAAGCGUUGUUCGGAUUCAUUUGGGCGUAAAGGGUGCGUAGGCGGCGCGGUAAGUCGGGUGUGAAAUCUCCGGGCUUAACUCCGAAACUGCAUUCGAUACUGCCGUGCUUGAGGACUGGAGAGGAGACUGGAAUUUACGGUGUAGCGGUGAAAUGCGUAGAUAUCGUAAGGAAGACCAGUGGCGAAGGCGGGUCUCUGGACAGUUCCUGACGCUGAGGCACGAAGGCCAGGGAGCAAACGGG
rnacentral:rRNA from 1 species